rnacentral:lncRNA from 1 species
GGGGAUUUCCCCUUCUCCUUCAUAGUCUUUUGUUACUUUGAAUCUCCCAAUCUCUAUUCUCUUGGUUACUCUAUUCUGGUUACUUAAUCUCAUACUCUCAGUCCCUUAUUCUCACUCAUUCUCCCAUAAUCACUCUUAUACUUCCAUUCACUAAAUCUUACCUCCAUUAGUCUCUCUUCACCAUUUCAAGUUCUCUCUAGCCCUUGUGAGUUUGUUCAACACUUAUACAGCCUGAGACUCUGUAAAUCUCAUAUGGUAUCAGAGCCAGAUUCAUCAGAACCUGGUAGAAGCUUCCGCAUAUCCAUUACAAGCUCACCCUCAUCUCAAAUCCAAGCCUUUGAAGAUCUGUCAAAACCGGUUGCAUCUCUUCAAGAAGAAGCAAACCAAAGCCAUGGCGUUCUCUCAUGGUCUCUCCACCUUUCUCUAGUCCAUUAAAGGCGUGCCUCACCUCCUGUUUAAGAUGAAACCUCUCAAGAAGAGAGCUUUCCCUUUGCUCAUGUAGUUGGCGACUUGGAAACAUGAAGAAAGGAGGGGUCUUUUGAGUUUGAGAUACAAGAAGGUGGUCAUGAACACAAAGAGGAGCUGUUAGGUGGCGAGUCUACAUCUCCAGUCCAUCAAAAUGUCAUGACCUGUUGCCUAGGAGGUUCAAGGAAUCAGCACAGAUUCCUUGGUUGUAACCCAAUCCUUUUCCCUUCUUGAUAUGAGCUUGUAUUAUUGUUGGUUGUGUUUAAGUGUUGUUAUUGGAUCCUUGGGUUGAUUGAAUAUUUUGCUAGAUGGUAUUGUCUAGUUACUGUCCCAGGAUGCUUUAUGUGUCUUGGUUAAUGAUUGAGAAAUGUUUUAAAAUGCUUAAUCCCAGUUCUAAAAUGAAAUGACUUGUUAGGUGAUAGAUUGUAUUGUUUUAUCCAGCUUGAUUUCAUGAAUAAGAAACUGAAUAAGAUUAAGGGAUUAUGUCUUGUUGCUAUCUUACAUUGAAGCAUUAGAUUCAUGUCGAAAGUGCUGAGUAAAGAAGCUUUAAAAUGCCUAAGUAGCUUGCAUAAAUCUGGAAAAGAAAGUGCUUGUGCUUAGAGAGAUUGCUUGCAAAGAUUAGAACCUGAUAUUGUCUUGUUUAAUCUGUUGCAUUGCUUGUGAUAUUGGGAAUCAAACUUGAUUAUUAAUAAAGGAUUGAUCCCAAUACUAUUGUGUCUCAUCUUUGCUGGAGUUUGAGUGAUGUUUCAGGUUCACAAGAAGUGUACUUGGUUCACUAUCCAUCCGAGUUGAAAGUAGGAGACGUUUGGCCAUUGUGUGUGCAAUGGAGAGUGGCCUUGCGGUUCUGUCCAUGGUGGUUCAGUCACCAUAGCCUGCAUAUCAUGAGAAUGUAGAGAGGACAGUAGACACGCAAGGAAAAGCAUUACCAAGAGGGUGAUGUGAUGGCGAUCAUCACUAAAAUCAUGAGGAGGCCGAUGAUCUAAAGGAAAUGGAGCAAAGGGCAUGGAAACUCACUGUCCUAAACUUUAAGCCUGAUCCUAUACUUGAUCAGCUUGAAGAAAAGUAUUAGUGAGCUUCCAAGAAGAUCCAGAGGCUACCAUUGUCCAUUUUCUCCUUCCAUAACAUACCAAGUAUUAGUGAGCUACUUCUACUUUUGUCAUUUCCCAUCCCAUUGUCUUUAUGCCUGAGUUCAUUCAGAGUCUUACUGUGAUUUUAGAGAGUAGAAUAGGUAUUGAGAGAUUUAAAGAGAUUCAAGAGAGAUUAAAGAGAGAUUAUGGAAACAUUAAGGAAAGGUGAGAUUGUUUAUGAAAUGUAAAGGAUAAACAUGAUGAACAAGAGAGAGAAUAUGAUGAACUCGUGUUAUCUAU